ensembl:lncRNA
UAGUUAUCCCAGCCACAACGUCGAAAUUGGCUCGUACAAAUUCAUGAAAUCAGACAUUUACUUUUUGGUCAUUAUAUAAGGUUAGCAGUGGUUAUAGUUAGGUUUGAAAUCACAGUUUACGACGGUAAUUUGUAGAAAUUGGCGUGGUUUAGAUAUCAUUAUGACAACUAGUGAAUAACUAUAUUCUUUCGAGGAACAGCAACCACCGUUCCAGAUAUGACUGGAUGGACAACUCCCAUCCCCCUGUCAAACGUCGUUAGUCACUGGCGCGUUUUUUUUAACCAGGACAAUGACCCAACACACUUCCAGGCUGUGUAAGGGCUAUUUGACCAAGAAAGAGAGUGAUGGAGUGCUGCAUCAGAUGACCUAGCCUCCACAAUCACUCGACCUUAACCCAAAUGAGAUGGUUUGGGAUGAGUUGGAGUGAAGUGAUGUGUUGGAGUGAAGGAAAAGCAGCCAACAAGUGCUCAGCAUAUGUGGAAACUCCUUCAAGACUUUUGGAAAGGCAUUCCAAGUGAAGCUGGUUGAGAGAAUGCUAAGAGUGUGCAAAGCUGUCAUCAAGGGUGGCUACUUUGAAGAAUCUAAAAU